rnacentral:lncRNA from 1 species
UUCACAAUACGAAUAAAAUACAGACUCUUAAGACUCUAGAAUUUCUAAGAUAUAAAAGUUUAUAAGAAAAUAUUAGUGAACUGAUGUGCAACAAUUUCAGCCGAGUUUUGGCACAGGUAAAUUAUUGUUCAGUCUCUACAAAUCUUCAAGUCUUCAUUCCUUUAUAUAGAGGUAUGAGACAUACGUUGUAGAAAUGCCAGCACAUCAAAAGAUUCGUUUUAGAAGUUUGAUCAUCACCAAUGAUCUAUUGCUUGAUUUGGUUAAUGUCCUAGGAGGGAAUAAUUUGAAAUCCAUUCCUUGUUUGGAGAAUUAAACAGUGUAGACACAGUUGUAGUUGUACUAUGUGCAGACAAGAGUCAAGAGUGGAGUAGUGGUUGUACAAUUGUCCUUUUUAUGCGCUCUUUAGUGAAUAAGUAUUCAAUGCCUUCUAAUUCCUCUGAAAUUGUCGUUGCUCUAGGCUUUUAUUCCUUCUCCAAACUUAUGUCUUAAAAUAACCAAAUAUAACUAACUCCAGGUUCUUAACUUGAAACUCUGACGAACUUCAGACUCUGGCAGUCAGCUUCUGAUGUUCUUCAAACUUUGAUGGUCUUCAGACUCUGACUUUCAACAUAAGCUUGCUUUGUAAAUUCCAUUGCUCUCAUUUGUUAUUACAGAACCAAUACUUAGUUUUAAGACUCGUAAAAUUUUUAGUCUAUGGUCCUGCACACUUGAACAAAUAUUAGCAUAGCCAAUUGAACUUUUAAUUUCAUGUUAUCAUCAAAACUUAAGCUGAAAAUGUUAAACAAAUUUUGUUCCAACAUAUUCUAGUUUUUAUUGAAGCAAUAAUUCUAUGUCAAGUCAAUUUUGAUUGUCAAGAGGAUAUGUGUUCCCCUCCUAAAAAGCCUUGGUGCGAUAUCUGAAUAUGAAUGUAUUUGUGUAAAUGUUCCCGUAAUUAUAUGAAUUUGUUGAAGUUGAUGAUUUUUGGAUAAUUAUUUUAUCAACAAAUAAUAUUUUAUUAAAAAAAAUCACAUCAUUUUAGAAUGUUUAAUAAGUGUGUUUUUUUUUUUUUAGGGAAAUAAGUGUGUAUUUUAUGGACCGUAGUUUUUCAUUUUUACAUCCAACCAACGGCCAAAUGUGAAGCAAUUUCUAAUAAAAGAGGUUGAAUGAAAAAAGUACCAUGAAAGCGAAUGACAUUUAAAAACUAAAUUUUACAAUAAAAAAAAUAGAAAAAUUACAUCAAAGUGCUAACAAAACAAUUCAUCAUAAUGUUGGGCUUAGAAAGCGAGCAUACACUCAGUUGUAUCAUCAUAAUCGACUAAGUAAGUAUUUCAUCAAUUCAGCAUAACACAUCGACAAUUUUCCAUUGUCAAAUCUCACCGAAGAUUUUUUUUUAUAGGCAAUGAGAUAAGUGAGACAACAAGUUGUUUCUGACAGACAGAUACCCCAUCCUAUGCCGCCUACUCAUAAUAUAUUAAAUCCCACCAAAGAUAAAGUGAUGUAAUUUCAAAUAAUAGAUGUUGAAUAAAAAUAAUUAGCGUCGAAACGAAUGACAUCCAAAAAUUAAAAUUUAAGAUUAAUUAUUUUUUAUGCAAAUGAUAUCCAAAACAAAUAAAACAUCUCAUCAUAAUAUUGUGACUGUUGGGGGAGCAUAAAUUGAGUUGGAUAAUCGUGUUAGGUUAAGAUCAACCAUAAUUUAAGAAUGCAAAAUUUUAACCAAUUAUUGGUACGACUAUCUAUACUAGUACAGGAGAAAUUGAUAUUGUUUGUAUCAACGAUAACACUAACUUAAGUAGUAGCCAUAGCCUAAUAAUCACAUCAAAUCUAACAAAUUUUUACCUCUUUAGUAAGUUCCACUUUUGUUUUUUGUAAGUUCCACUUUCUAUCAUGAAACGUUAAAGAAUAAAGCAAAUUUAAAAAAUUAGAAUGAAUUUCGAGGAUUGUUAAAAAGAAAAAUAUGUUAC